GAUGAACGCUGGCGGCGUGCCUAAUACAUGCAAGUCGAGCGAACGGACGAGGAGCUUGCUCCUCUGACGUUAGCGGCGGACGGGUGAGUAACACGUGGAUAACCUACCUAUAAGACUGGGAUAACUUCGGGAAACCGGAGCUAAUACCGGAUAAUAUAUUGAACCGCAUGGUUCAAUAGUGAAAGACGGUCUUGCUGUCACUUAUAGAUGGAUCCGCGCCGCAUUAGCUAGUUGGUAAGGUAACGGCUUACCAAGGCAACGAUGCGUAGCCGACCUGAGAGGGUGAUCGGCCACACUGGAACUGAGACACGGUCCAGACUCCUACGGGAGGCAGCAGUAGGGAAUCUUCCGCAAUGGGCGAAAGCCUGACGGAGCAACGCCGCGUGAGUGAUGAAGGUCUUCGGAUCGUAAAACUCUGUUAUUAGGGAAGAACAAAUGUGUAAGUAACUAUGCACGUCUUGACGGUACCUAAUCAGAAAGCCACGGCUAACUACGUG
rnacentral:rRNA from 1 species